rnacentral:rRNA from 1 species
UACGAGAGGCCCAAACGUUAUUCGGAUUUACUGGGCUUAAAGAGUUCGUAGGCGGUUCGUCAAGUGAGGUGUGAAAGCCCUCGGCUCAACCGAGGAAUUGCGCUUCAAACUGUCGGGCUCGAGGGAGAUAGAGGUGAGCGGAACUGAUGGUGGAGCGGUGAAAUGCGUUGAUAUCAUCAGGAACACCAGAGGCGAAGGCGGCUCACUGGGUCUUUUCUGACGCUGAGGAACGAAAGCUAGGGGAGCAAACGGG